rnacentral:rRNA from 1 species
UGGGGGAAUAUUAGGCAAUGGGGGAAACCCUGACCUAGCGACGCCGCGUGAGGGAAGACGGUCUUCGGGUUGUAAACCUCUGUCUUCAGGGACGAAAAAGAUGACGGUACCUGAAGAGGAAGCCACGGCUAACUACGUGCCAGCAGCCGCGGUAAUACGUAGGUGGCGAGCGUUGUCCGGAAUUACUGGGUGUAAAGGGAGCGUAGGCGGGUACGCAAGUUGAAUGUGAAAGGUAUCGGCUCAACUGAUAUAUGCGUUCAAAACUGCGGAUCUUGAGUGAAGUAGAGGCAGGCGGAAUUCCUAGUGUAGCGGUAAAAUGCGUAGAUAUUAGGAGGAACACCAGUGGCGAAGGCGGCCUGCUGGGCUUUAACUGACGCUGAGGCUCGAAAGUGUGGGGAGCAAACAGGAUUAGAUACCCUGGUAGU